UACGGGGGGGGCAAGCGUUGUUCGGAAUUACUGGGCGUAAAGGGUUCGUAGGUGGCCUACUAAGUCAGACGUGAAAUCCCUCAGCUUAACUGGGGAACUGCGUCUGAUACUGGAAGGCUUGAGGACAGGAGAGGAACGCGGAAUUCCAGGUGUAGCGGUGAAAUGCGUAGAUAUCUGGAGGAACACCGGUGGCGAAGGCGGCAUCCUGGACCGGCACUGACGCUGAGGGAGCGAAAGCCAGGGGAGCAAACGGG
rnacentral:rRNA from 1 species